UUAGGCGUUGUUGGGUAGGGGAGCGUUCUGUAAGCCGUUGAAGGUGGCCUGUGAGGGUUGCUGGAGGUAUCAGAAGUGCGAAUGCUGACAUAAGUAACGAUAAAGCGGGUGAAAAGCCCGCUCGCCGGAAGACCAAGGGUUCCUGUCCAACGUUAAUCGGGGCAGGGUGAGUCGACCCCUAAGGCGAGGCUGAAAAGCGUAGUCGAUGGGAAACAGGUUAAUAUUCCUGUACUUGGUGUUACUGCGAAGGGGGGACGGAGAAGGCUAGGCUAGCCGGGCGACGGUUGUCCCGGUUUAAGCGUGUAGGGGGUGUGACCUGGUAAAUCCGGUU
rnacentral:rRNA from 1 species